AACGAACGCUGGCGGCAGGCUUAACACAUGCAAGUCGAACGGUUGUAGCAAUACAGCAGUGGCGCACGGGUGAGUAACGCGUGGGAAUAUACCGAGAAGUGGGGAAUAACUCCGGGAAACUGGAGAUAAUACCGCAUACGCCCGAGAGGGGAAAGAUUUAUCGCUUUUCGAUUAGCCCGCGUGAGAUUAGGUAGUUGGUGGGGUAAUGGCCUACCAAGCCGACGAUCUCUAGCUGGUCUGAGAGGAUGAUCAGCCACACUGGAACUGAGACACGGUCCAGACUCCUACGGGAGGCAGCAGUGGGGAAUAUUGGACAUGGGCGAAAGCCUGAUCCAGCCAUGCCGCGUGAAUGAUGAAGGCCUUAGGGUUGUAAAGUUCUUUCGCCGAUGAAGAUAAUGACGGUAGUCGGAGAGGAAGCCCCGGCUAACUUCGUGCCAGCCGCCGCGGUAA
rnacentral:rRNA from 1 species